UACGUAGGCAGCAAGCGUUGUUCGGAAUUACUGGGCGUAAAGAGUGUGUAGGCGGUGCUCCAAGUCUGGUGUGAAAUCUCCCGGCUCAACUGGGAGGGUGCGCUAGAAACUGGAAUGCUAGAGGAUGGGAGAGGUAAGCGGAAUUCCUGGUGUAGCGGUGAAAUGCGUAGAUAUCGAGAGGAACACCUGCGGCGAAGGCGGGUUGCUGGGCUGACACUGACGCUGAUGCGCGAAAGCCAGGGGAGCGAACGGG
rnacentral:rRNA from 1 species